UUUUUUUUUUUUUUUUUUUUGAAUCUUUCCGUUUCUGGGUUGUGAUUUAUCUCUCCUGGUAUUUUUUUACCAAGAUCAUUUUUUGUGUGUUGAAUGCCAGCCCAUUGUUUAUAGGUAUACAAUGAAAGAAAUGAUUGCAGUAUGUUUUAAAGUGUUGUAUUCACCCUUGUAAUUUUUAGAAUCUUGCAUUUUAUUGUUUUGAAGUUAACUAUAUUUUGGUCCAGACUGUAGCUCCUUUUUAGCUUAUAGCACAAUUUAUAUAUCUCCUCUUAUAUACUAUUAAAAAUUUUUCUUUAAGUAAUGCUUUGAAAAUAAACAAAAUUACUCUUAAAAAAAAAUUUCGAAGUUAUAACUUUCUGAUAUAUUUUAUGAGGAAAUGCAUUUGGUAUUGAAAUUUCAUACAUCUUUCUGUGGAGUAUUCAUGUUGCAAUGCAACCUAUUAAACUCUAUAUCUGAGUUUAUUCAUUUUCUCAUAAGAGUAACUUGCUUUAUGCCAUGAAUCAUAUAUCACUCAUUUCUUAUUUCCAGCCACAGUGCAAGCAUACUUUAGACUGCAACAGCCAGUUUCGCAGCUUAUUCCACACAUUGGAAGAUUAGAGUAUGAUAUCACUGAUGAAAUAGGUGUGCCAAAUGC
rnacentral:misc_RNA from 1 species